CUCCACCUGACUCUGUCUUAUCAGUGAAUUCUAAUACGCCCCAGAGUUCAAACAAGAACAGUCCAGGGAAUUGUUUAACCAGUCCAAACAAGAAAAGUGACAUUGAACCAAGGGAUGUCUAAGGAAGUAUAUGAAAGGGGGCUGGAGAGAUGGCUUAGUGACUAAGAGAACUGGCUGCUCUUCUAGAGGACCCAGAUUCAGUCCCCACAGCCAUCUGUAACUCCAUCUUCAGGGAAUCUUCUGCCUCCCCCUGCCUCUGUCUCUGUCUCUGUCUCUGUCUCUGUCUCUGUCUCUGUCUCUG